AACGACACUUGAGUCUGCAUCAUCUGACAUCACUCUGCCAAUCGGCCUGAGUCCUUGGAAGCGGCAAGAAGCCUCCAGAGCACCACCAGAAGGUUUUUGUGUGUAUGAGUGAUUUGCCUGCAGAAGACAUCAAAUCCCCGGGAACUGGAGUAACCUAAUCGUGAGCCACCCUGGUUUUGAACACGAGUUUGUCUGCUUUCUCCUCAAGUUCCAACCCCAAGCUAUGCAUUUCUGUCAGGAUACCGUGAAUUGUUGGCCCAUGCACUCUCUCAAGACCGACUAUCAGAAAGCACAAGAUAACACACCUGUUUGACUCAUAUUACCAGGUGGACUUGGGUCAUUUCUCUGCCAAGACUUUCCCACUGUAAAGUUA